rnacentral:rRNA from 1 species
CCCUUAGAUGUUCUGGGCAGCACGCGCGCUACAAUGGUCUUCGCAAACGGAUGCAUUCUCGAAGGAGAAUGCCAAUCUUGGAAUCUAUGCCUUGGUCGGGACAGUUGCUUGCAAUUUUUCGACUCGAACCAGGAAUUCCUUGUAAUCGUGAUUUAUCACAUCACGAUGAAUACGUCCCUGCCCUUUGUACACACCGCCCGUCGCUCCUACCGAUCGAAGAGUUAGGUGAAUUGUUUUGAUCGAUAAGAUUUGACUAUGGUCAACUCUCGUUGUGAAAUUCUGUGAAUCUGACUGUUUAGAGGAAGGAAAAGUCGUAACA